GAUGAACGCUGGCGGCGUGCCUAAUACAUGCAAGUCGAGCGAACAGACGAGGAGCUUGCUCCUUUGACGUUAGCGGCGGACGGGUGAGUAACAUGUAGGUAACCUACCUAUAAGACUGGGAUAACUUCGGGAAACCGGAGCUAAUACCGGAUAAUAUUUCGAACCGCAUGGUUCGAUAGUGAAAGAUGGCUUUGCUAUCACUUAUAGAUGGACCUGCGCCGUAUUAGCUAGUUGGUAAGGUAACGGCUUACCAAGGCAACGAUACGUAGCCGACCUGAGAGGGUGAUCGGCCACACUGGAACUGAGACACGGUCCAGACUCCUACGGGAGGCAGCAGUAGGGAAUCUUCCGCAAUGGGCGAAAGCCUGACGGAGCAACGCCGCGUGAGUGAUGAAGGUCUUCGGAUCGUAAAACUCUGUUAUUAGGGAAGAACAAACGUGCAAGUAACUGUGCACGUCCUGACGGUACCUAAUCAGAAAGCCACGGCUAACUACGUG
rnacentral:rRNA from 1 species